rnacentral:rRNA from 1 species
GAUGAACGCUGGCGGCGUGCCUAAUACAUGCAAGUCGAGCGAACAGAUAAGGAGCUUGCUCCUUUGAAGUUAGCGGCGGACGGGUGAGUAACACGUGGGUAACCUACCUAUAAGACUGGGAUAACUUCGGGAAACCGGAGCUAAUACCGGAUAACAUUUAGAACCGCAUGGUUCUAAAGUGAAAGAUGGUUUUGCUAUCACUUAUAGAUGGACCCGCGCCGUAUUAGCUAGUUGGUAAGGUAACGGCUUACCAAGGCGACGAUACGUAGCCGACCUGAGAGGGUGAUCGGCCACACUGGAACUGAGACACGGUCCAGACUCCUACGGGAGGCAGCAGUAGGGAAUCUUCCGCAAUGGGCGAAAGCCUGACGGAGCAACGCCGCGUGAGUGAUGAAGGGUUUCGGCUCGUAAAACUCUGUUAUUAGGGAAGAACAAAUGUGUAAGUAACUGUGCACAUCUUGACGGUACCUAAUCAGAAAGCCACGGCUAACUACGUGCCAGCAGCCGCGGUAAUACGUAGGUGGCAAGCGUUAUCCGGAAUUAUUGGGCGUAAAGCGCGCGUAGGCGGUUUCUUAAGUCUGAUGUGAAAGCCCACGGCUCAACCGUGGAGGGUCAUUGGAAACUGGGAAACUUGAGUGCAGAAGAGGAAAGUGGAAUUCCAUGUGUAGCGGUGAAAUGCGCAGAGAUAUGGAGGAACACCAGUGGCGAAGGCGACUUUCUGGUCUGUAACUGACGCUGAUGUGCGAAAGCGUGGGGAUCAAACAGGAUUAGAUACUCUGGUAGUCCACGCCGUAAACGAUGAGUGCUAAGUGUUAGGGGGGUUUCCGCCCCUUAGUGCUGCAGCUAACGCAUUAAGCACUCCGCCUGGGGAGUACGACCGCAAGGUUGAAACUCAAAGGAAUUGACGGGGACCCGCACAAGCGGUGGGGCAUGUGGUUUAAUUCGAAGCAACGCGAAGAACCUUACCAAAUCUUGACAUCCUUUGAAAACUCUAGAGAUAGAGCCUUCCCCUUCGGGGGACAAAGUGACAGGUGGUGCAUGGUUGUCGUCAGCUCGUGUCGUGAGAUGUUGGGUUAAGUCCCGCAACGAGCGCAACCCUUAAGCUUAGUUGCCAUCAUUAAGUUGGGCACUCUAGGUUGACUGCCGGUGACAAACCGGAGGAAGGUGGGGAUGACGUCAAAUCAUCAUGCCCCUUAUGAUUUGGGCUACACACGUGCUACAAUGGACAAUACAAAGGGCAGCUAAACCGCGAGGUCAUGCAAAUCCCAUAAAGUUGUUCUCAGUUCGGAUUGUAGUCUGCAACUCGACUACAUGAAGCUGGAAUCGCUAGUAAUCGUAGAUCAGCAUGCUACGGUGAAUACGUUCCCGGGUCU